UACAGAGGUCUCAAGCGUUGUUCGGAUUCAUUGGGCGUAAAGGGUGCGUAGGCGGCGCGGUAAGUCGGGUGUGAAAUCUUGGAGCUUAACUCCGAAACUGCAUUCGAUACUGCCGUGCUUGAGGACUGGAGAGGAGACUGGAAUUUACGGUGUAGCGGUGAAAUGCGUAGAUAUCGUAAGGAAGACCAGUGGCGAAGGCGGCCUGCUGGGCAGUUGCUGACGCUGAUGCGCGACAGCGUGGGGAGCAAACAGG
rnacentral:rRNA from 1 species